UACGAAGGGGGCUAGCGUUGUUCGGAUUUACUGGGCGUAAAGCGCACGUAGGCGGAUCGUUAAGUCGGGGGUGAAAUCCUGGAGCUCAACUCCAGAACUGCCUUCGAUACUGGCGAUCUUGAGUCCGGAAGAGGUGAGUGGAACUCCUAGUGUAGAGGUGGAAUUCGUAGAUAUUAGGAAGAAACACCAGUGGCGAAGGCGGCUCACUGGUCCGGUACUGACGCUGAGGCACGAAGGCCAGGGGAGACAAAC
rnacentral:rRNA from 1 species